AGAGUUUGAUCAUGGCUCAGGACGAACGCUGGCGGCGUGCUUAACACAUGCAAGUGGAGCGACGAACCAGGCUUCGGCCUGGGGCAAAGCCGCGAACGGGUGAGUAUCACGUGGGUAACGUGCCCCGAUGACCGGGACAACCCGAGGAAACUCGGGCUAAUACCGGAUGUGCUGUGCGACCGUAAGGUCACACAACAAAGGAAGCUUCGGCCUCCGCAUUGGGAGCGGCCCGCGGCCCAUUAGCUUGUUGGUGAGGUAACGGCUCACCAAGGCUGCGAUGGGUAGCUGGUCUGAGAGGACGAUCAGCCACACUGGGACUGAGACACGGCCCAGACUCCUACGGGAGGCAGCAGUGGGGAAUCUUGCGCAAUGCGCGAAAGCGUGACGCAGCAACGCCGCGUGGGGGAAGAAGGCCUUCGGGUUGUAAACCCCUUUCAGGAGGGACGAAGGUUCAGGCGCGAAUAGCGUCCUGGACUGACGGUACCUCCAGAAGAAGCCCCGGCUAACUACGUGCCAGCAGCGGCGGUAAUUC
rnacentral:rRNA from 1 species